rnacentral:lncRNA from 1 species
AGAAAGUGAGAUUGAUGAUAGAGAAAAUAAAAGAAUUUAACAAGAAAUAAAAUAGAUGUGACAUAUGUUGUAUUAGAGUGUAUGUGGGGAUAUAAUAGAGCAUUGUCUUUAAAUGUAAUUCUAAUACAAGAUGGGUUUUAACAUAAUUUUUUUUUUAAUGAGUCUAAUGCUAUUCUAAUUUUAUCAGGAUUUAUAGUUUAUCUUAUUUGAGUAUUAUUUUAAUUAGUUGUAGCCUUUAUAGUCUUUUAGUUUCCAAUAAUAAAAAUCUUUUUUUUUUCGUUUUUCUUGGAGGAACGUCUUUGACAUAUUGAGAGUUGGAUCAUUUGAAGUUUUAAACUAGAGUGCCGUAUCCAGUCUUUGCUGUGAGGUGAUUGAUUUACCUGUUAAAUAGGGCCAACACUUACUAAAUUUAUAUCUAGAACGACAUCGUAUAAAAAACACUAAACAUGAUUUAACGUUCAAAAAUGUGUUAAAUGUGUUUCAAUUAAAAUUGCUUCUGUUAUGUGUAAUGGGUUUGAUACUAAUUAAUGUCCAUUAUUAGCAAAUAGUGGGAGCAGAGUGAUGGAAAAAUAUCAUCUAUUAACCUUUUAUUUACUUAAUAAUGGACAAUGCCCUCGUAUUAUAUUGACUUAUCAUUUUCACAUAUUUAAUUAACUUAUUUCAAUCAUAAUCUAUAACACCUACCACCAAACUCCACGUCACCAACCACCAAUUAUGGAAUUAAAUUUUUAGAUGCAGGGAAUUUUUUUUUUUUUUUUUAAAAAAGAGAAAAGUAUAAGGCAAACCCUAUCUUACAUGCAUGUAAGAUAUAUUCCUCUCACAUAAAUAAUAUAUGGAUAGGAUCCAUAUACUAUUCAUGUGAGAGGAAUAUAUCUUACAUGCAUGUAAGAUAGAAGGACCCAAAGUAUAAUUGUAGUUAAAACUUGAAAUUAUCAUCGAAUUUUACAUACACCACAUAAUAACACUGCCAACCCCCGCCGGGCCCACCCCUUCAGUUCCCC